rnacentral:misc_RNA from 1 species
UUUUCAGACCGGGACCUACAGACCUGCAGCUAGUCCUUUCCAGUCUGUUUCUGAUGAGUGUUGUCUUUCUGUUGUGUGUCAUGUUGUAAAUUUUGUAUUUACUGCCACCCGGUAAAUUCAAAAUUUACAACAUGACAGUUUCAUUAAAGUUUUAAAAUUCAGAGAAUUUAAAACUAUCUAUAACAAUUUAAAUUGUUAUAGAUAGUUUAAAAUUCUCUGAAUUUUAAAAACUUUAAUAUAACAUUUCCUUAGACUCUUUCUGAUCUAUGUUAUCUUUUACAACCUGUUUGUGAUUUGUGAUUGUUUAUCUUUUUUAGCUUGGUUCGUCAUCGCAAUGGUGGCCAGCCUAAUCCCUAUCUCGGUCCUGGUGACGUCAGCUUGUGUUCUUCUUGUACAGACAUUCUUCUUUGACUAGGGAUUUGUCUGGCGGGGGUGGUGUUACGUGUAUGUACCUUCUAUGACGUCAUCACCACCCACAACAAGAACUGUCUCUCGUCAGUGAUGGGGGGGGGGGGGUAUUUCCCUAUUUUAUCUGUAUACCACUGGUGCAAUUUCAUUGAUGUCAAAAUGUUCUAUUUAUUUAUAACAUAAUAAUUAUAUGUUUUUCAAGGUAUAUGUUCUCAUGUUAUGUACAAAUGUCUAUGUCUUUUUAUUUUUAUACUGAAAGCUGAUGUUCCAAGAUUUAACUGUGAUAUCUCUAUACAUGCCAAAGACAAUUGUUUCUGUUGUGAAAAAAACCAAACUAUCAUUAUUAUUCUACCUUUGGUGUAAUUGGUGUAUUACACGAAAAUGUGUCUUUGACGUAUAUUUGUUCAUUUGCCGCUACACGUAUGUUUGUUGAAUAUUUCCUAUCUAGUUCAAUCACUAUCAUCAUUUCAAUGUUUAUAUCAAAAAGACAUUUACCCUAAGUCCUCUAUCAUCAACAAUUUUACUGUUCAGGCGCCGAUUGGAUGUCAUUUACGUUAUGUUACGAUUACAUUUACUGCAAUACAAAGUACUUCAAUAAAAUAUUUCAAC